GUGCCAGCCGCCGCGGUAAUACGGAGGGUGCGAGCGUUAAUCGGAAUUACUGGGCGUAAAGGGCGCGUAGGCGGUGAAGUAAGUCGGGUGUGAAAGCCCCGGGCUCAACCUGGGAACUGCAUUCGAUACUGCUUCGCUAGAGUAUGGUAGAGGGAAGCGGAAUUCCGGGUGUAGCGGUGAAAUGCGUAGAUAUCCGGAGGAACACCAGUGGCGAAGGCGGCUUCCUGGACCAAUACUGACGCUGAGGCGCGAAAGCGUGGGGAUCAAACAGGAUUAGAAACCCCCGUAGUCC
rnacentral:rRNA from 1 species